GACGAACCGUCCUAACGUUGUUCGGAAUCACUGGGCUUAAAGGGCGCGUAGGCGGCUUGCCAAGUCAGGGGUGAAAUCCUGCAGCUUAACUGUAGAAGGGCCUUUGAUACUGGCGAGCUCGAGGGAGGUAGGGGGAUCUGGAACUUCCGGUGGAGCGGUGAAAUGCGUUGAGAUCGGAAGGAACGCCCGUGGCGAAAGCGAGAUCCUGGACGUUUUUCUGACGCUGAGACGCGAAAGCUAGGGUAGCGAACGGG
rnacentral:rRNA from 1 species